rnacentral:rRNA from 1 species
UACGUAGGUGGCGAGCGUUGUCCGGAUUUACUGGGCGUAAAGAGCGCGCAGGCGGUCGUGCAAGUCGCGUGUGAAAGCCCCCGGCUCAACUGGGGAGGGUCACGCGAUACUGCUCGACUCGAAGGCAGGAGAGGGAAGUGGAAUUCCCGGUGUAGUGGUGAAAUGCGUAGAUAGUCGGAGGAACACCAGUGGCGGAAGGCGACUUCCUGGCCUGUUCUUGACGCUGAGGCGCGAAAGCUAGGGUAGCAAACGGG